AAAUCGAAAAGUAGUUUUCAAUAUUGAUUUAAAAAUAAAUGAAGGAUUGAAAAGAUACAAUGUAAACACACUUGUUAUUGUCACUUAAUAUGUACUUCUGAAAUUACUCGUAAGCCAUAAUUUCGUACCAUCUAUAUAGGUCUGAUGAACAGCUCACCUUCUGAUGUUGACAUUUUGAAUUUGCAUAUGUCGUUAAGGGUGAAGGUGAAAAGUAUCGAAUAAUCGCGCACGUUUUGUUGAUCACGAAUGCGAUCAUCAAGAGACGAUAUUAAAAGAGAAAUCAAGGAAGAUGAAGGAAAUUCAGUUGGAAAAUCCUGAAAAUGGAUCACCGCAGUUUUUGUGAUAGGCUUCCGUCAAACGAGCUUUUCCAUCAUUUCGUGUACACGUACGAUGUAGACUGUGUGAAGUUGGUUGUACUGAACUAUACAUAUAACGAAACACAAAGAAUUCAAGCGUACGUCACCGCGUGCAUCGAUGCCAUUUAUUGCAUUUUUUCGUUUGUGUACGUCGCUGGCCACGUACACAAACAAGAUUGUAACGUGCGUGACGUAUACCUGUGCCAUGCGUACACAGUAACAGUAUGUACCUUGCUAAUUGACCGGAAUUCUGUCUUGCUAAUUGACCGUUGCUAUCCCCACAUUUUUUGGAAGUAAUAUCUAUGAAGUGGAAUUCCAGCUUUUCAGAUUUUAAAAACUUGAUAUCUGAAAUCAAAUAUCAUCGUUUUACUAUCUCUUUAUACAUGCAGCCAGAAUUUUUAGUAUAGUCUUUUUCUUAUUAAUUAAUAUUCUUUUGUUUGUGUACGUCGCUGGCCAUGUACACGACAAGAUUGUAUCACGCGUGAUCGAUGUGAUGUAUAGCAAUACUUUGCUAAUUGGCUGGAAUUCUGCCUUUUUAAUAUUAAUUUUUAUUGAUUAUUAUAUAUUAUUUAUUAAUAUUUUAAUAACUGGCUGUUGCUAUCCCCACAUUUUUUUGAAGUAUCUCUGCGAAGUGGAAUUCCAGCUUUUCUCAAAACCUUUAAAAUCUAAAUAUCUGAAGUCAGGUAUUACUGUUUCAUUAUCUUGUUCAUCUUGACAGAUUUUUUGGUAUAGACUUCACAGGUAAUAAAUCGCUUUCACUAGUUUUUAUUCAAUGUCGUGAUAAUUAUGAUUAUUGAAUUCUUAUUUAUUAUAUUGUCAACGUAAUUUUUUACACGGUUCGCGUAUGUCCUAUGCAUCACCAUUUAAUUCUAAAAUUGCAAUAAAAUAUUUUAUGUAAAUAGUUAUAUAGUUAUUUGUAAUGUAUUUUUUCUGUCAGAAUACCUCAAAUGAAGGAAUUUCGAAUUAUAAGCUUUUAGUAUAAAUAUUCUUUUAUACAUACUUACCAGUUUAUUUUAUUAACCGAUAUAGAUAAUAUAAUAUGUUCAGCGUGUUAUAAAAUACAUGUAUAGUUUCUAAAUAAUUGGUAACAGUUCAAUAACUGGAGUAAAACGAACGGCUGUAUAAACGAACUUAUUCGAAUUAUUAAACGAAUAUUACUCUA